CACUGUUCUGGUCUGCUGCUGCACAUGCAGCGUUUCAGAAGGAAGCUAGCCUGCAAAACGCCAGUUUUUGGAAGAAAUAAUCGUCGUGCUCUUCAAUAUUCGGAUUAGCUGUGCGCCUAAAACUGUCACUUCACGCCAAAAACUGGAGAUUUUUUUUCUGCUGUUUACAACUUUUGACCACAUAACUCUCUCCUGAGGAGAUGACUGCUUCACUUCAGCAAAGCUAAGCGCAUCUUAAGAUCAAAAUGGUUGGUGGCCUGCUCAUUGCAUUAUUGUGGAAAUAGAAAACUAAAGAGGGCUGCAGGGGGGCUGGAAUCACAAGCAUUGUCUAGAGUGGCCACGAUCACCUCCGGCAGCUGCAACGCAGCUGAAACGCGACGCAGCAGGAACACGACGCAGCAGCACCCGGUGGAAUCAAGCCAUUGUUGUUUGGUGUGUUUGUGUUUGGUCUUUACUAAGGGAGAUGAAACUGUGCAGAGAACUGUAUCUUGCUAAAUCAACAUGUUGAAAGGCAGCCAAAAAUGGGAUAGACUAACAUGUGUUAUGUCUUUGGGCUAUUAAGUUCAAACAAAAAACUACCAUGAAUAAACAGUACUGGAAAUGUGUUCAUGGGAAAACUCAAAGGUUCUGUAUCAGGUCUGUGGACCUAACGUUGCCCGUGGCUGCUCUCAUAACAGCCUCUCAGCGCUGCAGCUGUCUCUUCUCUACCAGGAUUAACAGUUUUGGAAGCACCACUAACAGUCCCUACAAUGUAAACCUCUCAGAGCUCACAUGAAUAGCGCUGACGCUUGAUAUUACUCCACAGUUGCAUUAGUAAAGUAUGAUAAUAAAUGAAACAUUCUCCUGAACACCCCAUUAGUAAACCUUAGCUUUUCACAGCCUCCUACAGCUCUCACACAAAAGCCCACAAGCUGUCCGAGACAGAAAAGCCUCUCUUAUUUCUCCAUCUCUUUCCUCAUUUGUCUCUCUUCCCCUGCCUUUUCACUUUUGUUCUUAUUUAUUCAUUGACUAUUUUUCAAUGCUACAGUAUGAGUGUACGCAGUACCUUACUCUAAAAACCCAAUACAUGUAAUCCAGACCGAUUUGAGUUAAGAUCUGCAGAAUAACUAAAGUAUACAAAGCAGUAAUUACAGUAGUGCUUGUUCAUCUAAAUGAAAUAUUUUCUUGGAUUCCUCAUGUUCCUAAACUAUUUUGUUGAAUGUUAUGUUGUUUUUGAUUUUCUGUAUUGUUACUUGUAUUUGUUGGCACUGGGCUCUCUGCUUUUGUGACCUACUCAUGCCUGAUUGGGGUUCUUUCAGUGUCACUGCCCUUUAAAGUCUGCUCUCCGCCCUGAAGUCAGGCUCCAGGAAGGAUAACAUUGGGAGGUACCUAUAGUUACAUAGGGUUUCUCUUCUGGCACAUACAGUCAUACUGUACUUAACUGUUCUGCCAGGAAAGACUAAACAAAACAAUAAUUUACCUGACAACUGAAAGGGCACCAUUAUCCCAUUUUUCAUAAAUGGCUGGUUUAAUGAGCACAUUUUUGUAAUAUCUAAAUUACCCAAAACACCAAAACCCAAUGUUAAGGAAUGUGGUUGGCCUAUAGAUGUGAGGGAGGCCCAUAUGGUAGCUUACUAUUUGAAAAGCCUAGUCUGCCUAUCACAAACAUUCCCUUACUCAGUUUCUAACAAUUACUACAGUCCAGACACUGAAUAUUUUUACACACUUUUCACACUGUUUUUCACACUAUUGUAUCACCUGAAACCUGUAUACAAUAAGAUUAUCAGUAUAGACUAUUCAAAGAAUGUGUGACCAUUUAUUAUUUACAAACAAUUAAAAAAAUUAAUGUAAAUUAUUUUUACAACAAAAUGCUUAGUGGAGAGUUGGUUUUAAACAGAGAUGAACACAUUGUGAAUGAAUCUGGCUUCAUCGACAGUCUGUUUGAACUCUGACCACCUGGUCAAGAGUUCAAGUCCCAGACCUGAUUUAUGUCGUGUUUUAAAAUAAAUGAGUGUAUUUCAGGUCAAAGUUGAACAGUCAAGUGGCAUGUUCAGACUACUCUGGCUAUAAAUGUUUUUUCUUUUUUUAAAUCAGUGAACUUAAAAGUGGUUUUUAAAAGGUAUUUGUCUUUGCUCCUGGGAAAUCCAAAUGUUUUCCUUUGCCCGUACUGCAUUAUUUAUGAAAACUGAAAGUCAAGGCAGAGAUUGUGUACUUAAGUGUGAUUUGCAGCACAUUGCUCAUGCCUCCUUGCCAUAUGUCAUUCUACCUGGCUGCACAUCAGCCACCUAAAAGCCUGUGUACUUACAUCAUCGUUCUGCUGGGAAGAGAUGUUUGGUGAAAUGUCCUCCAUUUUUCCAUGUCUCCAUGUUUCAGAUGGUAUCAAAGCUGUUAGUCUUUCAGUGGUUGGUUAAAAGUCUUAUGACGACUAAUGCAGGAUCACUGAAGUGAUAAAAACAUGAUGUAAUGAACCUUCUUUCCUCGCUUGGGGGUUGUAGAGAAUCCAGUGUAUAGUAUGGGACUGUAUAAUCUCAAUUUUAGCAAUGUUACAUGAGAGAGUAAUCUGUAAAAGGGUGGUCUUUAAAACUGAAACAAAUUAAUACCAGUAAAAAUGCUGUUGAGUAAAAUAUUGCAUUGUUUACCAAGAAAGGUUUAUGACCUAUAAUUUAAACGCACAAAUUCUGAAAGGGGAAAAGUUGUGGGUUGAGGAAAGAUUUUCAUUAGGUACCAACCAGAGACCAAAGUAGAUCCUAGCAACUAGAAUUUUGUUUUGAUGUAAUUUUCAUACUGCUUAACUCAGCACAAACUAUUUCCUAUGUAUUCUCUUUAUUAGUUACAGAAGCUAGUGGCAUCGAAGGAACAGUACACUCGUUAGCCCUCCUGCUACAGUAAGAUCGGGGAUAUGUUGGUUUAGCACAAAGAUUGAAGGCAGGAGGAAAAUAAGUUAAAGUCAUAAGUUAAAGACAAAUACUCCUUUCAACAAUGUUUAUUUUUUCUUGUGGAGUUUAAAGAAAAAUUAAAUGCAUAAACAACACAUCGUGGUGUUAGAAAUAGUUAUGUGGGUGGAUGAUUUAAAAAAACAAACACUGACUCAUCUGCCCAGCAUUUCCAGCUACAGCAGGUGUUGCCAGGUGUAAUUGUUGACAUUUAAAAACAAGGUACUUAAUUCUCUAAAAUAUCAUAAAGACUAAAGCCAUGGGUUGUAGGUAUCUUGUAGAAACUAGGAUUAAAAUCACUUGUCUAUCCUGUGGAUUCCUUUGUAAGGCUGUGUCUUUGUCUUUCCUGUGUGUUGUCCUGCACAGUGGGGCUCCUGAUCAUCAUGUGGAGAGUUCCGUCAGGCCACCCAUCAAUUUCCCAAAAGGUGGGAUGUGUUAGAUUGUUCCUGUCUGACUUGUUAGGCAGUUGUCUAUUGUCAGACAGGUUUGAUACACACCAUGCUUCUGGUUGCCCCCUACCUUCUG